rnacentral:rRNA from 1 species
UACGUAGGGUGCGAGCGUUGUCCGGAUUUAUUGGGCGUAAAGAGCUUGUAGGCGGCUCGUCGCGUCGGGUGUGAAAACUUGCGGCUUAACCGCAAGCCUGCACCCGAUACGGGCGGGCUAGAGUUCGGCAGGGGAGACUGGAAUUCCCGGUGUAGCGGUGAAAUGCGCAGAUAUCGGGAAGAACACCCGUGGCGAAGGCGGUUCUCUGGGACGGUACUGACGCUGAGACGCGAAAGCGUGGGGAGCGAACAGG